rnacentral:rRNA from 1 species
CGGGGGGGGCAAGCGUUGUUCGGGAAUUACUGGGGCGUAAAGAGCUCGUAGGCGGCCAUGCAAGUCGGACGUGAAAUCCCUCGGGCUCAACCGAGGAACUGCGUCCGAAACUGCGUGGCUAGAAGCCCGAGAGAGGGAUGCGGAAUUCCAGGUGUAGCGGUGAAAUGCGUAGAUAUCUGGAGGAACACCGGUGGCGAAGGCGGCAUCCUGGAACGGCCUUGACGCUGAGGAGCGAAAGCCAGGGGAGCAAACGGGAUUAGAUACCCCGGUAGUCCUGGCCCUAAACGAUGAAUGCUUGGUGUGGUGGGUAUCGAUCCCUGCCGUGCCGAAGCUAACGCAUUAAGCAUUCCGCCUGGGGAGUACGGUCGCAAAGGCUG